rnacentral:ncRNA from 1 species
CGGCGAGGACGGCCUCGCUCGCAUCUCGAGACGGCGGGACGACCCGU